UCUUGCAUCUCUUGUUCCUUGGUUGCUAGUCGCAUUACAAGGAUGUUUUCCCUACGUGCAGACUCUUGCUGUUGCUGCUUUAGCUUUUCUUCAGAUUCCCGUAAGCCAGUUACAUCAUUUGCUGAUGAUUGAAAGAAAAAAAUAACAAAAAAUUAUGAACAUAAUUUCAAGGCCAAACUGAGCUAACCAAAAAGAAAGUUCUAUUUCAGUCAAAAUAAUAAAAAACUGCCUGAAAAAAAUUCAAGUCUCUGAUUUUCAUUCUAUUUUUAAAACAAGGAUUAGUUUCUGAUCAUGAAAGCUUCUUUAGGAAGCAAUGGUAAUACUGCUUCACACUACUAACACUAGUUUGAAUUAUGGGUUUUUGUUGUUGAGCCAGGGUCUUGCUCUGUAGUUCAGGCUGGCACUGAACUCACUAUGUCUACAGUAUUCAGAAAAAUGCCAAUUAGUAUUUUCUAACCCAUUCAAUAUAAAAAUGCCUACAUGUAUAUAAAUAACUAUAUGAACUAGUGGUUAAAGGUUUCAUAAUGUGGGCCAGGGAUUUAGUUCAGUGGUUCCACCUUCCACCGCCUGCCUAACUACAAGGACCCAAGUUUGAUCCCCGGUACCAAAAAAAAAAAAAAAAAAAGCUUUCAUAAUGUUCACAACUUCUAUAAAUAAUUCAGCUAUGUAUUAUUAAAAUUUCAAGGCAUUAAGCUUUUGAACUUGGAAAACUAUACUUAUAAAUAAUGUACUUUUUAAUACAAAGGGUGUAUUAUUUGAAUUCAAUGAAAAGUGACACUAAAAUUGUUUAGAAUUAUUUCUUUUAUUGGGUUUUUUUAUUUUUUGUGGUACCAGGGAUCAAACUUGGGAUCUUGUGUUUGUAAGGCAGGCGGUGGAACCACUGAGCUAAAUCCUUGGCCCAUUAGCGGUAUUUUUUUUUAGCAGAUUUUGAAAAAACUUUAUAUAGCUAUACCCAAAUGUUACAAUUUAAAUCCUCAUGAAUCUAUUACUGGUUACUUCUACAUACUUUCCUUAUAUGUUUCAAUUCAAACCCCUAAGUAGGAAACAAGCAUGGAUCAAGAAAAGUUUGCAGUAGUUUUAAAUUAUCCUAAUACAUGCUCUCAGAACCUUGCACUUAGCACAAGGUCCUGAGUUUGAUCCCCGGUACCACAAAAAAAAAAAAAAAACCAACUAAAUAAAAUAAACAAAAAACUACAUUUGCUUUAGUAAAGCCAAUUAUCCCAUUUUUUACAACAAUCUAAAAAGAGAUGACUAUUCAGUCUUUAGGAAGCUAAAACUCAAACUUACAGUUAAGAUCUGUGUACUUGCCCUCCAAAGCUUGAACAUAGGCUUCAUAUUGCUUCCAUCUAAUGAAAAAAAUUCAUGUCAGCUAUUACACUGAAAUUGCUUUUAUUAAAUAUACUAGAAAAUCAUUCAUAAACUUAUAAAUUUAGGUACUCCUGAGAAUUCUGUUGCAUUACUUUGGGGGGGGGGGCGCGGUUUACUCAAGAUUGAACUCAGGUCCUCAGGCUUGCCAGGCAGGCACCGUGAGCUAUAUCCUCGGCCCCACUGCAUUACUUUUAAUUGAGAUAAUUAUAAAUAUAACUUAACCAAUAAUAAAUUAUUCACCUCAUUAUUCCUUCUCAAUUUACAGGAGACAAGUAAUAGGAGACAGAAAAGUCUGAGAAUAUACUGAGCUUGGUCUUCCAGGUUAAAUCAAGAAAAAGACCAGGGAAUCAGUGUUUCGAAGCCACUAUGAAACCAGCCUGAACAACACAAACACAAACUCAUCAAAAACAAAACAGACUAGCCAGAGGAAUUAUCCAGAAAGCAAACUAAAAGGAGACGACAGGAAUGAUAUUUUCAAUGGAAACUUUCCUAUUCAUGGAACCACAGCAAAGAAAGCUAGAACUCAAGGCCAAGGAGUGUACUUCAGUGGCAGAGCACUUGCGUAGUAGGCACAAGGCCCUGGGUUUAAGCCUUAGCACCAGAAGACAAAGCCCUGAAGUCCAUAAGUGUAGCUUAGUACAAGUGAAGGAGGAAAAUUACCAAACUCCAAGAAACAAUGAAAUACAUCAUCUUGUCUACCUAACAUGCAAAGUAUCUCUCUCCCACUCAGCCUAUUAAAAUCGUUUAAUUCUUCAAAUAAAACUUCCUUGAAAUUUCUAGAGAAAAAAGUCACUGACUUUCCAAAGGUUGUCCUGGAAAAUAUUCAUUUUAAGGACAGGGAUGUAGGUCAGUGGCACUGUGCCUCCUGGCAAGCUCAAGGUCCUGAGUUCAAUUCCCAGUAUCGGAAAAACAAAAACAAAAAAAUCCCAACUAUUAAUUUUAUCUAAAGUUAUCAAGUCAAAAACUUACUAACCACAAUAAUAAAACACAGAAUAUAUUUAAAUUAUAACAAACACUACAUAAAGUACCACAAAGUCGUACUUGACAAUAUGUACUUCUAAAACACUUAUAUGAUAGUCACAGAAAUUCAAAACUAGAAGUAAUCUCAACCACUCCAAUUUGUACAAGAAAAAAUGAAGGACAUUAAGUUAAAUGAAUGGGCCUCGGCCAUACUUAGGACAAAGAGUUAAGUUCAUUUCACUAGUAAAAAAUGUAUUUCUUCCAUACUAGAAAUCAUGUUUUAGGAUCACAGUUUUUUCAAAUGUUAGAUACAAAAGGAAAAACUACAUCAAAAGAAGCCUAUUAAUUUGUUAAACUGAAAGUUUCUUAAGAGGGUUUUGCCCUACAAGUUAUACACUUUGUACAAAUGCUUCCCAAGUAACAAUUCUGAACAUUUUACACCUC